rnacentral:rRNA from 1 species
AUUGAACGCUGGCGGCAUGCUUUACACGUGCAAGUCGAACGGCAGCGCGGGCUUCGGCCUGGCGGCGAGUGGCGAACGGGUGAGUAAUACAUCGGAACGUGCCCAGUAGUGGGGGAUAGCUCGGCGAAAGCCGGAUUAAUACCGCAUACGACCUGAGGGUGAAAGCGGGGGAUCUUCGGACCUCGCGCUAUUGGAGCGGCCGAUGGCAGAUUAGCUAGUUGGUGGGGUAAAGGCCUACCAAGGCGACGAUCUGUAGCUGGUCUGAGAGGACGACCAGCCACACUGGGACUGAGACACGGCCCAGACUCCUACGGGAGGCAGCAGUGGGGAAUUUUGGACAAUGGGCGAAAGCCUGAUCCAGCAAUGCCGCGUGUGUGAUGAAGGCCUUCGGGUUGUAAAGCACUUUUGGCGGGAACGAAAAGGACUGUGCCAAUACCACGGUUCGAUGACGGUACCCGCAGAAUAAGCACCGGCUAACUACGU